AGUGAAUUCUGUGAAGAACAGAAGUAGUAUGGGUAUGGAGAUAGCACAACACAUCUUGGACAAAGGAGGACAGCACAGAGAGAAGAGUCUCCCCAAUGGAAACCACUAGAUGUUUUCAAAACAACAGUGAACCAGACAGAUCAUUAAGAAUGGGAAGUUUAGAGAACCUUUAGUGGGUUCUUUAAGGGUCCAGUGGUUUUGCCCUGUUGGAACCUCACCACAAACUUAACCAAAUAUCACUUUAUCCAUUCAAAUCUUUCAGGGGUCUAAAGCACAAUGCAAACAGUUUCUACUCAUUAUUUUUUUAGGGAUUGGCUCCUAUAAAGGAUGAUGAUUACCAUAGAAUUUUAAAUCCUAACAAUUAUAACCUCUCCCACAUCCCAACCAGCAAUCAGCUAUUCCAAACCAGGAAGGAAAAAUAGUAGACUAUGCUAAGAAAACCCAUAACUGAGAAGAUGGAUCACCACCUAAGCUUCUCAAUUCUCCUACAAAGGGAAGUCAGAACCUAUUGUAGGGAGCUGUUUGGCUUGUGUAAAGAGAAGAUCCAACAUGUCAACUCCCUUCUUAAAAAUCUGCACUGAGCUCAGCACAUUUUAAAGCUCUAAG